rnacentral:lncRNA from 1 species
CGUGACUAUAAAAGAGUCCGCGCUGAACAGCAGCACCGACUUCGCGCUGCUGUGGCCGAGGUGUACCGCUGGUCAUGUCGUGCGGUAGUCGCGCUGCGAGCGGGACUGCGGCUGCCUCACCUUUCUGGGAGAUGCUGGCCUUGUUGGCACAGGAGCCGGGCAUGGAGUGGCUGAAGCUGGGCCUCGCCGGGCAGGCGGCUGUUGCAUUGCCGUGCACGACGCGGGCGGUGGGGCGGCCCGGCGGCUCCAGGCGGCGCGGGGAGCUCGGCGCGGCAGCGGGAGCGGGGGCUGAUGCUCCUUGGAAACACUCACUGGGACCUCAGCCUCUGAAGACAUUAUUGUUGCUGGAGCACUCGGGGGAUGUUAGGCUUUGGCAAGCCUACCUUGAGGGGCUGAAGAAAUUUCUCGCCUUUAGGAAGGACAUGGGAAUGCCUGCAACCUGGCCCAUUCCAGAGGAUCAAGUUAGGGGAUUUUUAGCUGUGGAGUCUCUUUACUCGUCCUCAAAAACAUUGAUGUAUGUGGCAGCAUUGUCUUACUUAUCAAGACUGUCUGGUAACCCUGACCCUCUGGAAGAUGCUGUAACCCGUUGGAUGGUAAUGGGGUUGAGACGUGAAGUGGGCAUCCUGAGGGAAAAAUAUGCUCCUAUAACAAUUGAGAUACUACGGUCUCUCUUAGGAGCUCUGGAAUCUGUGUGUGUUUCCCAUUAUGAAUGCUUACUGUUCCGUGCGUUGUUCACUGUGGCUUUUUUUGGUGCACUUCGGAUAGGAGAGGUGGUGGCAAAGCACCGUAAUGUACUGCAGCCUGAACUGCUCUACCUGAGGGACAUGCAGGUGACAGAAAGCAGGGUGGCGUUUCGCCUGCGUAGCUCUCCUGUCGACCAGGAGAGACCCGUCAUCAGCCUUGCUCUGUCAGGAGAGCCAUGGGUGUGCCCUGUCCUGGCCUUCCGGAGCUUUGUGGCUGUGCGUUCAAGGCUGGAAGGGCCGCUCUUUGUGCACAGGGACAACGUACCUGUAACGAAGAGGGGAUUUCUGACUGUUCUCAGAUUGGCCCUUAGGUUGCUGGGGCUGCCCCUGGAGCAGUACGGUGUGCACUCCUUCUGGCUGGGGACUAUCAUCACCGCUGCACGUUGUGGAUAUCCCAGGGAAGAUGUCACUCGCCUGGCAAGGUGGCCAUGUGUGUUCCCAGGGAAGUCAUAGCCAUGGAGACAGUAGGCAAAAGAAGUUAGUGGUUUCUUUCUGUAGGAGUUUUAACAACAUAAAUUACUGCCAAGGAGUAUAAGCUAACAUUACCAUCUGUAAUGAAUGUUCUACCUCACUGUGGAUAUGGUCUGUGAAGUUCACUUGUAUUUGUUUUCACUGUGUACUGUUGAGGGUGGGGGACUGUCGAACUUGCUGUGCCCGCAGAUGCUUUUAUCUUGCAUAACUUCAGUUAAUAAAUGCUUCCUUUUUAAAAAUGCA